rnacentral:tRNA from 1 species
AUCUCAAUAGCACAGCGGUUAGUGCACAGCCCCGUAAAGGUUGAGACGCGGGUUCGAUUCCCGCCUGGGAUG